GUGGAGGACACCUGGAGAACAGUUAUUUCCCCCUGGAAUUCCCCCCUUCUCCGCUUUCCAAGGUUGUCGUCCACAGAAGGCAGAGUCAGACUGGCAAGACCUCUCUGGAUACUGCUGUCUUCUUUUCCUACCUCCGCAUGUGCAGAAACAGCACUUUGACACCAAGGACAAAGAGGAUUCCUUCAUGUGUUUCUUGAUUACGUAACCAAAUAGUAUCAGUGAGCCACCAGGUCAGAUUCAAGACCUGUUGGAACCAUUGGGCUUACUGCUCACUGCCAAGGCUGCAGGAUCACACCCCUGGUCAUUUUUUAUACAGAGCACUGUUAAAGACAGAAGAAGAAGGAAAGUACAAGCUUGCUAUCAAUGCUGUGGCUGCUCAUGUUGCAGGAGAACAAAAAGAGGGAUACACGGUCUGUGCAGCUAUCCUGUCUGAAAACUGCCAAUGCUGCUGUUUCAGUUAGAAUCUGAGCUGGGUUCAUGGUAUUUUGAACCAUGCUUUCUUACAGCUUGUUUCUUGACAAUAGUUCAAG